UCCAAUUGUAACAAAUAGGUUUCUGUCAAUAUCUUUAGGAACGGCGACAGGAUGAAGACUCUUAAUCCCGUCCAUGACUGUCUUAACGGCAAGAUUAUCGUCAAAACGCGGUAAAGCUGCAGAUUGGUAAGGUCCCAUGGCCAUUGAAUAUCUUGCUAUGGGUUUAUCUGCUGUGACUAGGACGUUUAGGGUUUGACCCGGCCCGAGCAUGACUCGGUCCGUGGUCAAUGGCUUUGUGUACUCUCCAUCAACUUCAACAAUUGUCAAUUUGUGAUUUGCAAUGGCAAAGAAAUGCUCCUGGUUCAAAGCUGCAUUGAUUAACCUUAACAAGUAUGUUUUCCCAGGAACCACGUCUAGUUUAUAAAUAUCUGAAACAAAUCAUUACACUUUUUAGCUAACAGAAACAGUACAAAGUACUCCUUUUGGCCCAAUUUAUGUGACACAAUUUCCUUUUACGUUUUGUCCAAAAAAGAAUGAUACUUUUUAUAUUUAGAAAUAAUUUAACUUAAAGCUUCUCUGUAUACCCUUGUGAGAUAAUUUAUAGCCACAAAAUAUCUAUGGCUUGUUUUAAGUCCAUAAAUUUUACUUUCUUUCUUGAAUUAUGUGUCAAGUCAAAGUGCGUCACAUAGAUUGAGACGGAAGGAGUAACAAAUAUGACAGAGUAAUGAUGCAACUUCUGUCAUUUUCCCCGUUGAGUUAAAAGAUGGAAGUAAAAGUUGAGUAAUGAAUGUAGAAGAUUACCAUUAGCAGAGCAAUUAUAAUUAGGGCCGGGUUGGCCAUUGAUGGUAAAAGCAUCCGCCGGUGGUGGAGCUCCGCCACUAGCUAAUACUGCCUGCUCAAUUUGCACCAUGUCUUUCAUCCAAUAUUCCCC